CUACGGAGGGUGCGAGCGUUGUUCGGAAUUACUGGGCGUAAAGGGCGCGCAGGCGGCUUGAUAAGUCAGAUGUGAAAGCCCACGGCUCAACCGUGGAAGUGCAUCUGAAACUGUCUGGCUUGAGUACUGGAGAGGAAAGUGGAAUUCCUGGUGUAGAGGUGAAAUUCGUAGAUAUCAGGAGGAACACCGGUGGCGAAGGCGACUUUCUGGACAGAUACUGACGCUGAGGCGCGAAAGCGUGGGGAGCAAACAGGAUUAGAAACCCUAGUAGUCC
rnacentral:rRNA from 1 species